UACGUAGGGGGCAAGCGUUGUCCGGAAUCAUUGGGCGUAAAGAGCGUGUAGGCGGCUCGGUAAGUCCGCUGUGAAAGUCCAGGGCUCAACCCUGGAAUGCCGGUGGAAACUGUCGAGCUAGAGUCCGGAAGAGGCGAGUGGAAUUCCUGGUGUAGCGGUGAAAUGCGCAGAUAUCAGGAGGAACACCAAUGGCGAAGGCAGCUCGCUGGGACGGUACUGACGCUGAGACGCGAAAGCAUGGGGAGCGAACAGG
rnacentral:rRNA from 1 species